rnacentral:rRNA from 1 species
UGGUGGAGUGAUUUGUCUGGUUAAUUCCGUUAACGAACGAGACCUCGACCUGCUAAAUAGUUUGGCGAAUUCCCUGUGGAUUCGCACAUAACUUCUUAGAGGGACGUUCAUUCUACAAGAUGAAGGAAGAUGGCGGCAAUAACA